UCUUGGUGUGCUGGUUACUUUUUGUUAACUUGACACAAACCUAACCAGAGGAAACCUCAGUUGAGGAAUGGUGCCUCCAUCAGAUUGGAGACAUUCUCAUUAUUAAUGAUUAACACGGGAGAGCCCAGCCCAGGAACCAUCUGAGCAGGUGUUCUUGGGUUGUAUAGGGGGAAAGCCAAGCUAUUGGAGCCAUUGGAGAGCAAGGCAGUAAGAAGCAUUCCUCCAUGGUCUCUGUUUUAGCUCUUGUUCCUGCCUUGAGUGCCUUCCUCCAUGAUAGUCUAUAAAGCGUAAACUGAAAUCAGUCCUUACCUCCCGAAGUUGCUUUGGGCCAUGGUGUUUAUCUUAGUGAUAGAAAAGCAAACUAAGACAUUCUGCUUGCUUUGGCUUCAUUUUCUCCUAUUCUUUUAGCUUCAUGAAUUAAAAUGAAACUUCCUGAGGUAGAAGCUAAGGUUAUUUUAGAGGUCCUCUCUAAAUAUAGACAUUUUUGUGCUAUGGCUUUUCCUCUAAUAGGGCUUUAAGCUGCAAACACUGAUACUCUUACUUCUCUUAUUUCUUCUCUCUCCUUUUUAUUGUUUUCAUUUUUAUUGAUUAAAAUGCUUCCACUUUAAAUAUCUGUGGAUGGCUUAGAAUGAUCUCAAAUUAAAAUUCUCAAAUUUUCCUGAUGUUUUAUGGCAUUGAUUUUUAGUUCAAUUCCUUGAUAACUAGAGGCUAUACUUGGUUUGACUUGAAGCUUUAAAUUUUAUUUAAAAUAUAGGAUUGAGCCACAAUGCUGUAAGACAAGAGUAUACAUAGUAGGGAAGAACAUGUGUCUGUGACUGCGGUUUUAUUUAGUGUCUUUUUGGUGUUUCUAGAAUACAUAUUGAGCUUAGUACAGUCUGCCUUCAAGUAAACUGGCAUACAAUUCAUUAUGGUAAAAGAAGCAUGCCAGUAUAGUUCCAUUUCUCCCAUGGGCAUAUACUGUUGUUGCACAUUUUAGCUGUACAUGUUACAUAGAACUUGUAUCUGAUAUAUAUAGAACAUAUAUUUACCUUAAAUAGGCAAUUGCUUGCCCAAGACAUUUAAUAGUGACAAUCUUUUGGUUGUUCUGUUCUGAUGUUCUUGAUCUUGGGGUCGAACUUCCACUUGAUGUGUGGGGUCCAGGCUAAGUGGAGGUUCCAUUGGGGCUGGGAGACAGUAUUGUGGAAGCCUCUACUGUUGUGGGGAGGACCAGGAACUUGAGGUGCCACCUGCUUCUUUCUUACCUGAGACUCCUUAUCCUGGAAUUUUCCUGUGUUCCUCAUUAUUUCAGAGACACUUGUCUGGAGCAUUUACACACUGCAGGUGUUGCUUUGGUCAUGGGAUGCAGAUGCCUUCCAAGGUCCCUCUGAUUUCCAGGGGUCAGGAGCCAUGCCUUCCAAAACAGGUGGAGGACAUGAUUCUUCUGGGGUCAGUCAGAAAUGGGUGCGUUUUCUUUAGUAAAACCAUGGUGAUGAGGCAAUUUCUCUGAGAUAUUAAUGAUCAGCAACAAAACUCUCUCAGAAAAGGGCACUUAUUGACUAGCAUCUCAACACUGCUGUAGUUACCAGUGGACUUUAUUAAUCUCUUAGUAAGCUUCAGUUCAGCACAUUACUGUACUAAACCUGAGCAAUUUCAACGGUCCUCAGACCUGGAGGCCAGUGUGGGAUUCUAAGUGUCUCAGGGUUGUGAUAUGUCUGCUUGAAGGAGUUGGUGAGGCUUUUGUGCCUCUCCUCUCUUUCCUGCUGGCAUCUUGGAUACACUGAGCUCACUGCCUUUCUGCAGUCACCUGGAUCCAUCCUCUAAUGUUUUCUAUCAUCUUUCCCUGUGUCUCUAGGUUCACAAUGCCCCCCCACCCCAAUCCUUUUAUAAGAAUAUUUGUAGGGGAGAGCUCACAUACCAAAGAUAUUGGCCCCGCCCACUUGGGGUGUGGACAGAGGGACUUCGGAAAGGCAAGAAAGAUCUCUGUUGGAUGUUGGCCUUGCUUCGGAGAACAGAGCGGUUCCCAGCUUCCCCUUGCUACCCUGUCAGCAAGCUUAAACUUCAGUACAUAGGCUUCUGGGGACACUCAUCCGUAGCAGAGUGUCAAGUCAAGCACACUUUUCCUUUGG